GAUGAACGCUAGCGGCAGGCUUAACACAUGCAAGUCGAGGGGUAGAGAUAGCUUGCUAUUUUGAGACCGGCGCACGGGUGCGUAACGCGUAUGCAAUCUGCCUUCCACAAAGGGAUAGCCCGGAGAAAUCCGGAUUAAUACCUUAUAGUAUUCUGAGGUGGCAUCACCUUAUUAUUAAAGAUUCAUCGGUGGAAGAUGAGCAUGCGUCCCAUUAGCUAGUUGGUAAGGUAACGGCUUACCAAGGCGACGAUGGGUAGGGGUCCUGAGAGGGAGAUCCCCCACACUGGUACUGAGACACGGACCAGACUCCUACGGGAGGCAGCAGUGAGGAAUAUUGGACAAUGGGCGCAAGCCUGAUCCAGCCAUGCCGCGUGCAGGAUGACGGCCCUAUGGGUUGUAAACUGCUUUUAUACGGGAAGAAACCCUGCUACGUGUAGCAGACUGACGGUACCGUAAGAAUAAGGAUCGGCUAACUCCGUGCCAGCAGCCGCCGUAAGAC
rnacentral:rRNA from 1 species